UACGGGGGGGGCAAGCGUUGUUCGGAAUUACUGGGCGUAAAGGGCUCGUAGGCGGCCAACUAAGUCAGACGUGAAAUCCCUCGGCUUAACCGGGGAACUGCGUCUGAUACUGGAUGGCUUGAGUUCGUGAGAGGGAUGCGGAAUUCCAGGUGUAGCGGUGAAAUGCGUAGAUAUCAGGAGGAACACCGGUGGCGAAGGCGGGUCUCUGGGCCGAUACUGACGCUGAGGAGCGAAAGCGUGGGGAGCGAACAGG
rnacentral:rRNA from 1 species